rnacentral:rRNA from 1 species
UACAGAGGGUGCUAGCGUUGUUCGGAAUCAUUGGGCGUAAAGGGCGCGUAGGCGGCGUGGUAAGUCACUUGUGAAAUCUCUGAGCUUAACUCAGAACGGCCAAGUGAUACUGUCGGACUAGAGUACAGAAGGGGCAACUGGAAUUCUUGGUGUAGCGGUGAAAUGCGUAGAUAUCAAGAGGAACACCUGCGGCGAAGGCGGGUUGCUGGGCUGACACUGACGCUGAGGCGCGAAAGCUAGGGGAGCGAACGGG